UUGAACGCUGGCGGCAUGCUUUACACAUGCAAGUCGAACGGUAGCAGGCCUUCGGGUGCUGACGAGUGGCGAACGGGUGAGUAAUGCAUCGGAACGUGCCCAAUCGUGGGGGAUAACGCAGCGAAAGUUGCGCUAAUACCGCAUACGAUCUACGGAUGAAAGUGGGGGAUCGCAAGACCUCAUGCUCAUGGAGCGGCCGAUAUCUGAUUAGCUAGUUGGUGGGGUAAAAGCCUACCAAGGCAUCGAUCAGUAGCUGGUCUGAGAGGACGACCAGCCACACUGGAACUGAGACACGGUCCAGACUCCUACGGGAGGCAGCAGUGGGGAAUUUUGGACAAUGGGCGCAAGCCUGAUCCAGCAAUGCCGCGUGAGUGAAGAAGGCCUUCGGGUUGUAAAGCUCUUUUGUCAGGGAAGAAACGGUGAGGGCUAAUAUCCUUUGCUAAUGACGGUACCUGAAGAAUAAGCACCGGCUAACUACGU
rnacentral:rRNA from 1 species